rnacentral:rRNA from 1 species
GACGAACGCUGGCGGCGUGCUUAACACAUGCAAGUCGAACGGGAAGCCUCUGCUUUUGUGGGGUGCUCGAGUGGCGAACGGGUGAGUAACACGUGAGUAACUUGCCAUAGCCUUUGGGAUCACUUCCUGAAACUGGGGCUAAUCCCGGAUAGGAGCUCCUACCGCCUGGAGGGGGUUGGAAGGUUUCGUUGGCUGGGGAUGGACCCGCGGCUUAUCCGCUUGGUGGUGAGGUAGUGGCUUACCAAGGCUUUGACCGGUAGCUGGCCUGAGAGGAUGACCAGCCACACUGGGACUGAGACACGGCCCAGACUCCGACGGGAGGGAGCAGUGGGGAAUAUUGGACAAUGGGGGCAACCCUGAUCCAGCCAUGCCGCGUGAGUGAUGACGGGCUUAGGGUUGUAAAGCUCUUUUCUCCGGGACGAUAAUGACGGUACCGGAGGAAUAAGCCCCGGCUAACUUCGUG